ACAGAAGGGAGAACAGGGGACUGUGGCCUGCACCUGGGAAAGAGGACGAGACACCCACUUAUACACUGAGUAUACUCUACAGCUAAGUGGACCAAAAAAUUUAACCUGGCAGAAGCAAUGUAAAGACAUUUAUUGUGACUAUUUGGACUUUGGAAUCAACCUCACCCCUGAAUCACCUGAAUCCAAUUUCACAGCCAAGGUUACUGCUGUCAAUAGUCUUGGAAGCUCCUCUUCACUUCCAUCCACAUUCACAUUCUUGGACAUAGUGAGGCCUCUUCCUCCGUGGGACAUUAGAAUCAAAUUUCAAAAGGCUUCUGUGAGCAGAUGUACCCUUUAUUGGAGAGAUGAGGGACUGGUACUGCUUAAUCGACUCAGAUAUCGGCCCAGUAACAGCAGGCUCUGGAAUAUGGUUAAUGUUACAAAGGCCAAAGGAAGACAUGAUUUGCUGGAUCUGAAACCAUUUACAGAAUAUGAAUUUCAGAUUUCCUCUAAGCUACAUCUUUAUAAGGGAAGUUGGAGUGAUUGGAGUGAAUCAUUGAGAGCACAAACACCAGAAGAAGAGCCUACUGGGAUGUUAGAUGUCUGGUACAUGAAACGGCACAUUGACUACAGUAGACAACAGAUUUCUCUUUUCUGGAAGGUGAGUUUUAAGCGUCAACUUAAAACUCAAGGGAAUAAAACUGAAGG
rnacentral:lncRNA from 1 species